rnacentral:rRNA from 1 species
GAUGAACGCUGGCGGCGUGCCUAAUACAUGCAAGUCGAGCGAACAGAUGAGGAACUUGCUCCUCUGACGUUAGCGGCGGACGGGUGAGUAACACGUUGAUAACCUACCUAUAAGACUGGGAUAACUUCGGGAAACCGGAGCUAAUACCGGAUAAUAUAUUGAACCGCAUGGUUCAAUAGUGAAAGACGGUUUUGCUGUCACUUAUAGAUGUAUCCGCGCCGCAUUAGCUAGUUGGUAAGGUAACGGCUUACCAAGGCAACGAUGCGUAGCCGACCUGAGAGGGUGAUCGGCCACACUGGAACUGAGACACGGUCCAGACUCCUACGGGAGGCAGCAGUAGGGAAUCUUCCGCAAUGGGCGAAAGACUGACGGAGCAACGCCGCGUGAGUGAUGAAGGUCUUCGGAUCGUAAAACUCUGUUAUUAGGGAAGAACAAAUGUGUAAGUAACUAUGCACGUCUUGACGGUACCUAAUCAGAAAGCCACGGCUAACUACGUG